rnacentral:rRNA from 1 species
UACGAAGGGGCUAGCGUUGUUCGGAAUCACUGGGCGUAAAGCGCACGCAGGCGGGUCGUUAAGUCAGGGGUGAAAUCCCGGGGCUCAACCCCGGAACUGCCUUUGAUACUGGUAGUCUUGAGUUCGAGAGAGGUGAGUGGAAUUCCGAGUGUAGAGGUGAAAUUCGUAGAUAUUCGGAGGAACACCAGUGGCGAAGGCGGCUCACUGGCUCGAUACUGACGCUGAGGUGCGAAAGCCAGGGGAGCAAACGGG